rnacentral:rRNA from 1 species
ACGUUGACCUCGGAUCAGGUAGGAAUACCCGCUGAACUUAAGCAUAUCAAUAAGCGGAGGAAAA